CCUACGGGUGACAGCAGUGGGGAAUAUUGCACAAUGGGGGAAACCCUGAAGCAGCGACGCCGCGUGAGUGAAGAAGUAAUUCGGUAUGUAAACUUCUAUUGGCAGGGAAGAAAAUGACGGUAUCUGAGGAAUAAGCACCGGCUAACUACGUGCCAGCAGCCGCGGUAAUACGUAGGGGGCAAGCGUUACCCGGAUUUACUGGGCGUAAGGGGCGCGUAGGCGGCAGAGCAAGUCUGGAGUGAAAGCCGAGGGCUCAACCAGAGGACUGCACUGGAAACUGUUCGGCUGGAGUGCGGGAGAGGUAGGUGGAAUUCGUGGUGUAGCGGUGAAAUGCGUAGAUAUCAGGAGGAACACCAAUUGCGAAGGCGGCUUACUAGACUGUAACUGACGUUGAGGCGCGAAAGCGUGGGGAGCAAACAGGAUUAGAUACCCGGGUAGUC
rnacentral:rRNA from 1 species